rnacentral:rRNA from 1 species
CCCUUAGAUGUCCUGGGCCGCACGCGCGCUACACUGGUGCAUUCAACGAGUAUUUCCUUGGCCGAGAGGCCUGGGCAAUCUUUUAAACCUGCAUCGUGAUAGGGAUAGAUUAUUGCAAUUAUUAAUCUUGAACGAGGAAUUCCUAGUAAACGCAAAUCAUCAAUUUGCAUUGAUUACGUCCCUGCCCUUUGUACACACCGCCCGUCGCACCUACCGAUUGAAUGGUCCGGUGAAAUCUCGGGAUUGUGGCCAGUUCACUUUAUUGGGAGUUGGCUGCGAGAACUUGCUUAAACCUUAUCAUUUAGAGGAAGGUGAAGUCGUAACA